CACGUAAUGUUUUUUCAUUAACAAGAAUUAAAGGAACCUUUCUAAUUGAAGAUUGAAACAAAUAAUGCCUAAAAAUUCUAUAUCUAAUCAUCGAAAUAUUUAGAUCAAUGGAAACAACAUGUCAUUCAAAAUCUUCCUCAGCAAAAUGCCCAGCCUUGGUUUCCUUCUGUACAUACUACAACAUCACUAUAUUCCGAUGUCACUGGUGCAAAACGAAAAACGUUGUGGUGGUGUUCGUUUUCCAUCAUGUGAUUCGUGAAACCAUAGCCUAAAUAUCUUCUUAUGUAAUUUAUCUUUUUGAACUACGAUCAGGUGAUAAAACUGACUCUUGUUCUGCCAAAAGUUAGAACAGUUUUCUUAUGUACUCAUCUUCGAGAAUUUUUGAAGCAUCUUGUUUGAUGCCAUUGCAUCACGGAACUCUUCUUCUUCAAUAAAUCUUCCAUAUAAGAAUAGAGCGACUUCUUUGGAAUUUCGAUUGGAUAAUCAUCGUCAAUUUGACGCUUGUCAAAUGACUGGUUAAAUUCUUCAUGCGAAUCGAGUCUUUGAGGUCUUUUCCUAUUCGAUCAGCGACGGCGAGACAGUCUACGCGAUGUUUCCUCCUCUCUCAGAAGAUGUGACAUAUUUGCUAGUUGUUUUUUUCCCCUCUUUUCAACUUCAAUUUGCAAAAAAAAAAAGUGUGUUUUAGUUCGCAAGGGGGAAGAUACGUUUUGGUUUGUCCAUGAAAGUCCAAUUAUAUAGAGCCGAGGUAUGUGUUGCCCUUUCCAAGUGGAUUUGGGAUACAAGUUUGUAAAACUUUUUCCCUCUAGAAUAAUUUGGAUGCUUCACAAUUGAAUUUCAAUUCGUAAUAGUAACAAAAUUCUUCUUAUUUAUAAAUUGGACAACUAAAUUGAAGUAACUAAUUUUAGUACGGAGACAAAUAAAACUAAACUGAGAAAAAACAAUUACGUGUGUUAGUUGAUUAGGAAUUAUAUUUCCAUUAUUAGACUACUCCUUAUUCUAUCCAAUUUAGGAAUGCAUGUGUCACGUCCCAAAAUAAUCCCUAGGCGUGACUGGCUCCCAACAACACCGUUUGCUGGGAGAACCAAUUUUUCUAUUCAUUCUCCAUAUCUACAAACACUGAAAUGAAAACAUACACAACACUAUAUGCACAAAAUAAUGAUUAACGCAGAAUAAUUAUCCAACAAGAUAUCGCAUAGCGAUUUAUGAAAACGACAACAGUUUAGAUUACAAAUCUUUAACCCAAAUCCCACACUAAGUUCAUGGAGCAUCUAAACAGAAUUCCAUGAGUUCAACUUUGGGCAUACAAACCCAACGAACAAAACCAUAAGUUAAAAUAACUAGAGAUGAAUAACAGCUUUCAUGAAUAAUGCGAAGGCUCACCUUAGAGAUAGAAUCCACACGUAAAUACAGUCAGCCACGAGCCUCUCUCUUUGCAACCGUAUCUUCACGUAUGCAAGUAAGGAGUGAGCUAUAUAAAUAUCACCCAGUAAGAUCCUUGACUCGCUACUUUAAUACCCCUGGAACAAGUGUUAGAAAAUACAAAGCACACCAAAGAUACACAAAUAAUAUAUACAUAAUAUCUUUCAUAAAAUAAUAUCAAUAAGAUUUCCAAAAAGGUUCAAAAUAUCAUCCUAUAACAACUCAAUCCCGCACUCACGACUUGUCAUAAACGGCAGUGAAGGUGAUCGGCCUAAUAGUCCGACAAGUCCAUGUCAGCAUAUAUAAUGCCCCAAAAAGUCUACUACGGCAGCAUGUACUAGCCCCUAACAUAUUACGGCAGCAUAGGUAAUGCCCUUAACAUAUUACGGCAACAUAAGUAAUGCCCCUAACAUAUUACGGCAGCUAUGUAUGCCCCUAGAGACUAUAACAGCAGCGAAGAAAAUAUAUUCAACGCCCCAACCUCACCUUGCGUUUCACUCUAAACAAUGCUCAACACACUUCAAAAUACAUAUUCAUAGCUAGUCAAAAGCCAUAAAAUCUAUCAAAUUUACGCUUGUCCCAACACAUGAACAAGGUAGAAAAAUAUAAUUUUUAUAAAUCAGAUUUGAAAAGUAAGCAUCAGAGCUUAAAGUUUCACUUACCUCGAAUGCACAAUUCAAGCACCACCUUCUAGUGAAUCAAAAUAUGCUCCCGAAAAUUCAAACACCUUAAAUUUCAAUAAAUUGAAAAAAAAAAAAAUUGUUUGCGCAGAGGCCUAAUUGCUAAACUGGAACAUUGAUAUGCCGUUUCUUUCAAGCCAAGCCGUUGUUUAUAAUGUUAAUAUCUCCACUGCCACUCACAUUCUAAC
rnacentral:lncRNA from 1 species